rnacentral:rRNA from 1 species
GACGAACGCUGGCGGCGUGCUUAACACAUGCAAGUCGAACGGAAAGGCCCUGCUUUUGUGGGGUGCUCGAGUGGCGAACGGGUGAGUAACACGUGAGUAACCUGCCCUUGACUUUGGGAUAACUUCAGGAAACUGGGGCUAAUACCGGAUAGCAGCUCCUGCUGCAUGGUGGGGGUUGGAAAGUUUCGGCGGUUGGGGAUGGACUCGCGGCUUAUCAGCUUGUUGGUGGGGUAGUGGCUGACCAAGGCUUUGACGGGUAGCCGGCCUGAGAGGGUGACCGGCCACCUUGGGACUGAGAUACGGCCCAGACGCCUACGGGAGGCAGCAGUGGGGAAUAUUGCACAAUGGGCGGAAGCCUGAUGCAGCAACGCCGCGUGCGGGAUGACGGCCUUCGGGUUGUAAACCGCUUUCGCCUGUGACGAAGCGUGAGUGACGGUAAUGGGUAAAGAAGCACCGGCUAACUACGUG